rnacentral:rRNA from 1 species
AUUGAACGCUGGCGGCAGGCCUAACACAUGCAAGUCGAACGAGUGGCGGACGGGUGAGUAAUGUCUGGGACACUGCCUGAUGGAGGGGGAUAACUACUGGAAACGUUAGCUAAUACCGCAUACCAUCAGAUGUUCCCCGAUUGGGUUAGCUUGUGGGUGGGGUAACGGCUCACCAAGGCGACGAUCCCUAGCUGGUCUGAGAGGAUGACCAGCCAAAAUGUAACUGAGACACGGUCCAGAUUCAUACGGGAGGCAGCAGUGGGGAAUAUUGCACAAUGGGCGAAAGCCUGAUGCAGCCAUGCCGCGUGUAUGAAGAAGGCCUUCGGGUUGUAAAGUACUUUCAGCGGGGAGGCGUUACCCGCAGAAGAAGCACCGGCUAACUCCGUGCCAACAGCCGCGGUAAUUC